GAUGAACGCUGGCGGCGUGCCUAAUACAUGCAAGUCGAGCGAACGGACGAGAAGCUUGCUUCUCUGAUGUUAGCGGCGGACGGGUGAGUAACACGUGGAUAACCUACCUAUAAGACUGGGAUAACUUCGGGAAACCGGAGCUAAUACCGGAUAAUAUUUUGAACCGCAUGGUUCAAAAGUGAAAGACGGUCUUGCUGUCACUUAUAGAUGGAUCCGCGCUGCAUUAGCUAGUUGGUAAGGUAACGGCUUACCAAGGCAACGAUGCAUAGCCGACCUGAGAGGGUGAUCGGCCACACUGGAACUGAGACACGGUCCAGACUCCUACGGGAGGCAGCAGUAGGGAAUCUUCCGCAAUGGGCGAAAGCCUGACGGAGCAACGCCGCGUGAGUGAUGAAGGUCUUCGGAUCGUAAAACUCUGUUAUUAGGGAAGAACAUAUGUGUAAGUAACUGUGCACAUCUUGACGGUACCUAUCAGAAAGCCACGGCUAACUACGUG
rnacentral:rRNA from 1 species